AAAAGUGUUGUGCACGCUGAGACUCUUUAUAAAGAGAAGCUCCCAGCAAAGUGUCGGUAGCGAAGAAUUCUCAGGUGACACUGGCGACGUAUUUUUUGGUUUCCACCUGAUUGCAGAGCUCCGGGAUGCGGCCAGGCGCCAGGCCAUGGCCCUGGAACCACUGGCGAGCAAGGCCAGGUUGCCGAGCGGCAGGUUUCAGCCAUAGAAGCCAUUCCGCCUUUGGGCCUUGAAGGUCUUCUCUGAACCUCUUCAUUCUGCCCUCCGGCUGCUCUGCGGAGCUGUACGUGUGGUCAAGAAGGACAUUCUCCAAGGCAGUAGUUGAUGUCCCACCAUCACUCCGUAUGUGGCAGCUACGUGAGGCUUCCUCAGUGGCUGGUGACGGAGUGUCAUGCGCCUGCGAUAGAAUGUAUAAUGCAUGCUAACUUAGCCACCUAUUCACAGGACAGAGCACCGUUAGCAUGCAUCCAAUCCAGUCUUAUUACACACACAAGCAUGAUGAUUGUUCAUGGCAAGGCUGCAAUGGCACUUAUUACAUUGACAGGUAAUCAAUGUAACUGUCUGAUAAUGUAAUGGUUGGGGAGGGGGGACCUGUCAGAAUCCACACAGCCGUGUGUGGGACAUGUUACGCAUGUGUCGAGUUCUCUGGUCCUUUCAAUCCGCAAAAGCUGCAUACUUUACCAACGAAGGGGUGCAUUACAAGCUGACUGCUGACAGACCCAUGCACCAAGUUCACUUGUUUGUGCUGUUGCUCAUUUAUACAUUGCCUUUUUUACUUGGCUUGUUCCAUACAAAAGCCACAUGCAAUGAACACCUUAACUUGUGCACUCUACAUGGCGCUUCUUUUCACAGACAGCGGUGAGUGUGUUUCCAUCAUUUAGCAUUGCCAGGAGCCUUCAUCGUGGUUGUAUGACCAACAUGCAUGCAAAUUAAAAAUGUCUCCCCUUUUCGGCUACAACUUCAUUCUGCUGUGCAUGCAAUACAACUACAUGAUUGAUAGCAGUACGCUGUAUUGGUACCUUCUCUUCUUUCAUGUCAAUUGUGCAUUGAAUGAGGCUUUUCCUAAAAAAAAAAAAAAAAAAUUCAUUGUACAACUUCUGUAAAUUUUGCUAUGAUUGUCUGCACACAUGGCAGAAGAGCCCAGCAGAGACACCUAUUGGCAUGCAAAAGUGAAAUGUAUUAUAAAACCACUUCGCUACGAUUGCAUCCUUGUGUAAAACAUUAAACGCGAUCUGUCUCGAAGCUUCUGCUGUAGCACUUUCCGCUCUAUAUUGACACAUACCACUAUUUGUCAAUUCGGUUUUUGCGGUUUCUAUUGUUACACUUACUGUAUUGCUAUGAGGCAUAUGAGCUCUACGACUGGAAUGGCGAUCUUCUAAAUUUUUUUACAAGCAGUGCGGGGCUUCAAAGAAUGAGUUAUGUAGUACCACAGUUGUUUAAAAGUUCCAUUAACGCUUUCACAUCCUCUUACAACUGCA